GACGAACGCUGGCGGCGUGCUUAACACAUGCAAGUCGAACGGAAAGGCCCUGCUUUUGUGGGGUGCUCGCGUGGCACACGGGUGAGUAACCCGUGAGUCACCUGCGCUUGACUUUGGGAUGACUUCAGGCGACUGGGGCUAAUACCGGAGAGGAGCUCCUGCUGCAGGGUGGGGGUUGGACAGUUUGGGCGGUUGGGGGUGGACUCGGGGCUUAACAGCUUGUUGGUGGGGUAGUUGCUUACCAAGGCUUUGGAGGGUAGCCGGCCUGAGAGGGUGACCAGCGACAUUGGGACUGAGGGACGGACCAGACUCGUAUGGGAGGCAGCAGUGGGGAAUAUUGCACAAUGGGCGGAAGCCUGAUGAAGCAACGCCGCGAGCGGGAUGACGGCCUUCGUGUUGUAAACCGCUGUCGCCUGUGACGAAGCGUGAGUGACGGUAAUGGGUAAAGAAGCACCGGCUAACUACGUG
rnacentral:rRNA from 1 species